rnacentral:lncRNA from 1 species
AUACGGCACAUGACGCAGAGUGGAAGACAACCACAGGUGAAGUGUAAACAAAGACCUGCAGGAAGUAAAGGGGCUACAAGGGAUCCAUGGAAAGAGCAUUCCCAGAAGCGGGGCCAGGGCAGUGCGCACAGUGAGGAGAGCAGGUGUGUGUGAGGUUGAAACAAAACGUUCAAAGCCCCCUCGGAAGCCCAUCCACAGGUGUGUGACUGUGAACCGCAUCGUAAUCUCCUAGAAAGCAAGAACAUCAGGCUUACAUUUUCCACUUGCCUCUCACGGCUCAGAGCUCUGCAGUAUAUACAUUGAGGAAACUGGGCCCUGAGACAUUAACUUGCCCAAAAGAUCACAGUGGGCAACAUUCUAGAGCACAGUGGAAGCCGACAGCAAUGUCAGUGAAGAUGGAAAACAGAACGUGGAGAGAGAUGUAGCUUACUAGAGCCCUGUGGCUUCAAUCCCCACCAGGAAUGUCGUUUAAGAGGAAGGACAUAUCACACACCAACCGUGUGCAAAGCACUCUACCUAAAGAUCAGCGCUAACAGAGGAAUAAGCAGAGGCCUCCAGGAGCAAAGAGUGAAAAGUCUCCCAAGGAUUCAAGUACGGGGGAAGUGGGUGGAGCUUUCACCGUAGAAUCUUUCCUGGAGAAAAAGCAAAGAGUGGGACAACAAUGAAGGCAUUAAAAAUAACUGUCAAGUUGAAGAAAAAGUAUUUUGCCAAAGACUAAGGAUUCGGAGAUGACUACGGAAAGGAAAACUAAGCUCCAUGAGAAGAGGGGACUUGCCCAUGUGGCUCAGGGCUCUAUGCCCAGUGCCCUAGACAGUGCCUGACUGUGUGUGCGGAAUGAAUGAAUAACCUUGGUGAUCCACCCAAUGGCACUGGCGCUCAGUGACCUCAUCUGAAAUGGAAUAAGGAUUUUAUGAAAAUGCAUGUUUGUUGAAUAACACAAAGGAGAAUAUUAUCUAAUGUGGCUUGGGGUCAAUAUCAAGCAGUAAUAUUGUUUUAGUAUUAAUUAGAGCCGUGUCAUUGCAAGAGCUGGUAAGAAUACUGGUCUUGUUUCCAACUGAUGAAAACACUCAUACAGAUUAGGGUUUUUAUGAGUAAAUUUCAGAUCUUGAAAUCAGUGCUGUGAUCCACUCUCAUAGGGUGAAUAUCUGUCCAAAUGGUAUAUCAGAAAGGAAAAAAGCCAAUGUCAUUACAUAGAAGUGUUAAACAAUGAUCUCUAAAGAAAAGUUUCAUUCUUAAAAAGCAUUUGAACUUCAAAGCCCAACAAUGACAUAGAUUCACAUAUCCCAAAGGUUAAGAAAAUUCCUCUCAUCUAAAAACAAUGCAAAACCUACAAAAUCACUUCAAAUUCUGCUACCAUCAAGAUUUGCAUAGUUUUUUGAAAACUAAAAUAACAUAUUCAGAAAAAUGAACAAGUCCUAAGUGAAAUACUUAGUGAAUUAUCAUAAAGUGAGCCCAGCUAUAUAGUCAUCACACAGGUUAAAAUUAAAAUUAAGGCUGGGCGUGGUGGCUCACACCUGUAAUCCUGGCACUUUGGGAGGCCGAGGAGGGCAGAUCAC